rnacentral:rRNA from 1 species
AGCGAACGCUGGCGGCAGGCCUAACACAUGCAAGUCGAACGAAGUCUUCGGACUUAGUGGCGGACGGGUGAGUAACACGUGGGAACGUACCUUUUGGUUCGGAACAACUCAGGGAAACUUGAGCUAAUACCGGAUGAGCCCUUAGGGGGAAAGAUUUAUCGCCGAAAGAGCGGCCCGCGUUAGAUUAGCUAGUUGGUGAGGUAAAGGCUCACCAAGGCUACGAUCUAUAGCUGGUCUGAGAGGAUGAUCAGCCACACUGGGACUGAGACACGGCCCAGACUCCUACGGGAGGCAUCAGUGGGGAAUCUUGCGCAAUGGGCGAAAGCCUGACGCAGCCAUGCCGCGUGAGUGAUGAAGGCCUUAGGGUUGUAAAGCUCUUUCGGCGGGGAAGAUAAUGACGGUACCCGCAGAAGAAGCCCCGGCUAACUUCGUGCCAGCCGCCGCUGUAACAC